UGAAAUGCAAAACAAUGGAGUCUUCUUUGGUCUGUGAUAGAGCCAAGGUGAAGCCCUUUAGGCCAAGUGACAUGGAAUGAAACUAACAUUUAUUGAGAACUCUUCAAAAAAAAAAAGAAAAAAGAAAAAAAAGAAAGGACGGAAGAAAGAAAAAAGAAAAUAAGAAAAGCUACUUUUAAGAACUCCUCAUUUAUUCUCAAGAUGGCCCUCUCAACAACCACAGCGCGAGAUGACAGCCACCAGCUCUGCUCAUUCAUUCUGACUUAACGCUUACUCCGCGGUGCUGUGGGAUGAAUCGUGCCUUCCCUGAAAUCCAGAUGCUAAAGCUCUCAGUUGAUCUGUGACUGUACUGCAACAAAAGCCUUUAAGGAGGUACACGGAGGUGAUUUCUUAUUCAGCAGGACUGGUGUCCUUAGAAGAAGAGGAAAGGAGGUCCCACAGCUUCCUUCACUGGGUAAGGACAGGGUGAGAGUGUACCUAUCUGGAUGUCAGAAGCACUCCAUCCUAGGUUUCGUAGCCUCUCCAAUUGUAAACAAAUCAAAUAAAUUUCUGAUGUUCAAGUUGU